rnacentral:rRNA from 1 species
CUACGGGGUGCUCCAGUGGGGAAUAUUGGACAAUGGGGGCAACCCUGAUCCAGCGAUGCCGCGUGUGUGAAGAAGGCCUGCGGGUUGUAAAGCACUUUAGUUGGGGAGGAAAAGCCAUUUGUUAAUAGCGGAUGGAAUUGACGUUACCCAAAGAAUAAGCACCGGCUAACUCUGUGCCAGCAGCCGCGGUAAUACAGAGGGUGCAAGCGUUAAUCGGAAUUACUGGGCGUAAAGGGCGCGUAGGCGGUAUAAUAAGUCAGUUGUGAAAGGCCAGGGCUCAACCUUGGAACUGCAAUUGAUACUGUUGUACUAGAGUAGAGUAGAGGGGAGCGGAAUUUCCAGUGUAGCGGUGAAAUGCGUAGAUAUUGGAAAGAACACCAGUGGCGAAGGCGGCUCUCUGGACUCAUACUGACGCUGAGGCGCGAAAGCGUAGGUAGCGAACAGGAUUAGAUACCCCGGUAGUC